CCUACGGGGCGCAGCAGUGAGGAAUAUUGGUCAAUGGGCGCGAGCCUGAACCAGCCAAGUCGCGUGAGGGAAGACGGUCCUAUGGAUUGUAAACCUCUUUUGUCGGGGAGCAAAAGACGCCACGUGUGGCGUUCCGAGAGUACCCGAAGAAAAAGCAUCGGCUAACUCCGUGCCAGCAGCCGCGGUAAUACGGAGGAUGCGAGCGUUAUCCGGAUUUAUUGGGUUUAAAGGGUGCGUAGGCGGGCUUUUAAGUCAGCG
rnacentral:rRNA from 1 species